rnacentral:rRNA from 1 species
GCACGGAGUUAGCCGAUGCUUAUUCUUCAGUAACGUCAGAUCUUCUUCCUUGAAAAAAGAGGUUUACAACUCAGUAAGCCUUCAUCCCUCACGCGGUAUUGCUCUGUCAGGCUUUCGCCCAUUGCAGAAAAUUCCUCA